CAGUUCUGGCAGCUCAGCCCCAUGCACCUCAGCUCGCUCCCGAUCCUAUUACUGCUUUCCAAUAUCCUCUGCAGGAAUGGGGUCACCAGCACUAAGGCUGGCGCUUUCCGUGAGGGAAGGAUGGAGCCCUUCGGAGUCACAUUGAGUGAAAUAAAUAAAACGCAGCAGCAAAGACAAAUAGUUUCCAGGCAUUGUGUUGGCAUUUUGGCCUAAUGACUGAUUAAUCUGAACCGGAGUCUCAUUACAGAUUCACGGAUCGAUGGGAUCGGAUCGUUAGCUCCGGCACCCCCUCCUGCAAUCAGCAGUGCAGGCGGCAGCGCUGCCGGGGGAUGGAUUAAAGGCUCAGCUGGAGCAGGGAGCCGGCAGCAGGAGGGAAAGCAGGGAGAGCAGGGUUAGGAAAGGCACCGUCACCGUGCUGAGGGCCAACAAAAUGGCCAUGCUGCGGUCUGGUCCCAGCACGGAUUUGCUCUGCAGACGCAUCUUUCAGCCAUGAGGGACACGGAAAGCAUCUUUCAGCCGUGAGGGACACCCAACAGGGACAGCCCCGGGGGAUGGCACCUGUAUCCCAGCCACGGUGAGCGAAAAACCCCAACGGAGGUAUAGGCGGAAACACCACCCAUCACCCUGCAGACCCCCAGGAGGAGACCCCGCACUGAGCCCUAUCGCCGAAGAGGCAGAACAACAAAACGAAAGAGCAGAACGCCGCAGUGAGCACAGCGAGCAAAGCAGUGGGCAGCAUCCCCAGCAGCAGCACCGCGUGUCCAACAGCCCCAAAUCCCAGUGCAGAAAGACGGCGCUUCUGGAAGGAGGGAGCGGAAAGGAGGAAAGUCUUUGCUGAGAUCCCCGAAGCAUUAAUCCCAGAUUUGAGCUAUGAAGUAGAGCGCUGAGAUGGAAAAGAGCCCAGCCUUUUGCCAGGAUGCUGAUGUUCAUGAAAAGAAUAAAUAUCUGGAAGGAGGCUGCCUGUUAUUACUGGAAUAACACAAUCACAAAGGAGCACACCACAAACAAUUACGCUGGAACUAAGAGGGAUGGACGCCGGCUCUGUACGCAAUUAGGCACAGCUAUGAGUCAGGGAAACGAGCGUUUUCUAGAAACACUGCUCUUCUUAGCACAGAAACCGCCUCCUGGAUGGCAGGAUAAAGUUAAGAGAGAAAAAAAGAAAAAAGGGGGUAGGAAUCUGCAGUAUCAUAACAGAAAUCACAGAUCAAUGUGUUUGCCCUAGGAAAUGAACAGAUACACAUCAGGACUUGGCAGCCGAAGGAGUCUCCCAAAUGAAGCAGAAACAGCUCAAAAGGAAAGGAACAAAACAGAAAGAG
ensembl:lncRNA